GGCAGGGCGGAGGCAGGAUGGUUAGAGCAGCAGCACUUGGGUCUGGAAAAGCAGUGGCACCGUCCCAAACCUCACCAUCUUCCUGCUCUUAGGUCUGUCAGUGGAGCCUCCAGGCUUAUCAGCCACAGGGAGGGAGGGAGCUGUGUAGCUGGGCUGUCACGAUGUACCCCCCCCCCCCCCCCAGUGUCUGCGACACGGAAUGAGAGAUGUCCAGGAGAAAGCACAUCCGCAGCUCUUUGUUGCUGGACUGACAGAGAAGCCCCAGGCCGUCAGCGGUCUCCUGUCCCAGCACAUAAAGGCAGCACAGAGGCUGCCAUCGCGGGAUGACUUCCCAACCUGGACUCCCCACAGAUGACAGACGUACAUCAGAUAUACAUGGAUAUGUUCUGGGAAAGUAUCCGACCGGAGCUUGACCUGAACUCACCCAACACGUCAGGUUUAAUGGGUACAGUUUCAGUGUGGAGGAUGUAAGUUCAGGAGACGGCUGGCGACCAUGCACCAGUGGGAACGCACCUGACCCUACCGAACUGUACACUUAAAAUUGUUAAAAUGGACAGGGUGGAAAAUAGAGAUACCGGCAAAAACAGGAAGACAGACCACUGUGCAGGAGGAAAUCCAAAUCUUGCUUACGCUUCUGGGAGAGAAAAGUUCACAGUGGAAAUUUUUAUAUCUCUGGACUCCAAGCUAGUGCAGCUGCCCGUGCGGGAUGACUCCCUUCUGUUCCCUGUGAAUUCUGCUGAGGCCAGAUUCAGCUGGAGCGUGGGCUUUUGAGAGUCCACCUGGACUUCCACCGGCUCCUGGCCUCCCACACCUGCCCUCUGGAACAAGAAAACCUUUUAAACAGACACGGCUACACAGAGCGGGCAGAGCCUGUCCCAGGGGCGUCCUUGCCUCUUGGGCCCUCCAGGGUCGAAGGUAACUGUAGGCUCUCUUAAGUAACUUCACUCCUUCCUAAAAAGAUUUUCCUCCAGAUGGAGUGACAUUCGACGGGUUCAACAUGACUAACAAUAGGAACAUAAAUAGUGCCCCCAGCUUUGUUACACUAAGACCACAACUUAGGCAUAGACUCAGUGGGCUAGCCUGUGGCUAAGAGGAAGAAUUUCAAUGUGUUCAGAUCCUGGUGCCCUUUUCCAGCAAAGAUGGUUCGAAUGCAAGAUGCUUAAGAGAGCACAAUUUAAGAUUAAUACCUAUCAACUACUCCUUACCUACAGAAGAUGUUUGAAUCAGCCACUUGCUAAGUAAGACCCAUCUCAACUUGAGGUCAUCUGAGACGUGCAACUGGUCACAGAGCUUGUACAUCACUCUAGGCGUUUUCCCUACAUGUCUUCUCCUGUCUGCCAGUCCUGUGGGGUCUCUUAGCCGACGGCGUCCUCUGCCAGGGGCUUCCUACUCUAGUCCCAGCUCAUUAGCGCACACCCACUGUUGGCAGGCAAGGGAACAAUCACCAGACCGUCUUGGUGCUCGCUGGCCCCCUGGUCCUCUCCUACCAUCUCUUCCCAGGCUCACUUCAGCCUGGUGCUUCGAGACUGAGCCCCACAACCUGUUGCUUCUCCCAUGAACUCACACACGCUUUUCAGUCUGCCCAUUGUGCUUAGCCUGGUGCCAUCUCCUCAUGAAAAACCUCCGGGACCUUCCGUUCUGGCUCCCACAGCACACUCACCUGGGUGGUCACUGUCUUCCCCAGUCCCUCGAGGGCAGGAGCCCGUAUGUGAGGUGAGCCUGUAAUUGUCCAACCUGUGGGUGCUCAGUAAUGGGGUGCUAAAUGGAGGAGCAGAAGCACAACCACAAACUGGGAUGAGGCCUACUGAGACAUCGUCUUAGCUGAACGAGGAAACUAGCAAAGAGCUGGUAAUUCUGUAGCCAUUAUGAGUGAAUCCCCAGGGGAGGGCUCCAUAAUUUAUGGUGCCAAGUUAGGGCUGGCUGACCUCCCCAGGUACCAUCAAUAGGGUCAAAAGGGACUGGCAAGGACCUGACUUUCAGAAGGUACUAGAAGCUAGAUCAUCCCUCUAAAAUCCCCAUGCUGACACCUGUGUCUGCCCAUCCCCAACAAGGGCCAGAAAGCUCAACCCCAAAGGGGGCUGGCAUUUCUCAUUCUGCCUGCCUUUGGCAAUGUUGAACAAAACAGUAGCAUCCACUCCAGACAACCAGGUCCUGACUGAACCUGGGUCCUGACUGUGGGAGACGCUUCCAAAGAUGAACAGGCGGGGCCCUGCCUCCCAGAGCAUGUGGUCUAGGACACGCAGGAGUGCGCAGUUACCGCCAGGCUUCAGGGAAGGCAGCGCGGCAGGUUUCCCACGAACCAACCCCUGCAGCGACACUUCCGUCAGGUCCCACAGAGACCCUGCUAACCCUGCCCAUGGCUCUCCAUCACCCUACUCCAUCUGCACGGCCCUGCGGGGGCCAGGCCCAUCUCUGGGGCUCUGCUACAUACCCCCACAUGCCCCCAGGAGACACCUGACUCAAAUGGCAGGAACGUUAUCCAAUUUGCUCGCCGCAGUGCUUGAGGAAGGCGUGGGGUUUAGAGAAUCCAGGAAGGAAUGACCAGUCUGCAGGCCUGUGUGGUCAGGUGGGCACCAGGGCUCCACCUCCCACGGGAAGUACCUGAUCGCCCAGCUCUGAGCAGCUUCUAAACAGUCAGGCACUCGCAGGAGGCACAGGCUGUAGGGUGUGGGGCUUACCAGGCAGGCCAUCCAAAGGGCCGACGAAUCCCUCUCUUCUAAAAAUAGGUGAAGGUACACAGCCCUAACCCACCCUGGAAACAGAAACACAGCCCUGUUACAUUAUCUGAGGAGUAUGCUGCUUUUUGUUUAAAAAGAUUUGUUUCAAAGAGAAAUCCUGCUAACACAGGCAGCCUGACAACCAAUCACUUGGCUCAGGACUGUCGGCUUCAAUGUUGAAAGAAAGCCCCACGCUGUGCCUCCAUGCCUGGCCUUAUUUCCCAUCAAACUGGAAUCCUUGACCUCGUCCUCUUUGAGAACUGGCUUAAAUAAACAUGUUACUCAUCAUAUGACCAGCCACUCUGCCCUGACAGAAAAGAAACAGUGAGAUGGUCACCUCCAGACACACAGUACUCUGGCCUCUGUGGAAGCUUCGGCAGGAACCAUGUCCCCAUGCAAAAACCACAGCCUCUACUCUAAACUUUAGCCCUGGGGUCUGCAGCUUGCACCCAGCAAGGCCAGGCCGAGAGGAGCUCCCUACACACAGGACGUAAGAUAUCAGCUGUUUAGAGCAGGAUAAGAGGCCCAUAGGCGGCAGCUGUGGUCCCAGACUUGCAGGGUCCAAAGCUGGCUGCUGUCCUAACAGGAGAGCAGCCCACAGCCCACUUCUGGGGAGACCCUCACCGGCCUUCACUGCAGCAUUCAGGAGGGCAAAUUCAAGGCUCAUGAGUCUUCCUGCCACACAAGGACAGUCUUCCAAGAUGUGUUUAAGAAGAUUCCAUUCAAAUGUCAUUCUAAUGCCCUCCUAAAAAGAAUUCCACUGGCAGUGUCUUAGCUCAAAAUACAUAUGCUUUUUAACCUAGCAAGACAUUUCAGCUAAUUUUCCCGGAAGAGACAGAUGGACACAUAGGUAAAAACGCAUAACACAGUUUGUAAGAAUGAAAAUUUGGAAAAGUUUUAAAUAUAAAAUAAGGGGUUGGUUACGUUUUGUUACAUUGAUAUAACAUUUAUAUAUACAUUAUAUAUCUCCAUUAAAAGAUAGUUUGUGUCUACAUACAUCUACAAAAAGUAAAAAAUACAAUACUAGCUUAAA